rnacentral:rRNA from 1 species
AAGUCGUAACAAGGUUUCCGUAGGUGAACCUGCGGAAGGAUCAUUAGUGAAUUGAAUAUGUUAGCGGACCUCUUCGGAGUCCCUAGCAUCAAAUCAUAUCCAUAACACCUGUGAACUGUAAGGCUGUCUUGAAAACGAAAGUGAUUAGAGCGCCUGCCCAUUUUAUACAAACAUUAAAGUAACAAACGUAGUCUUAUUAUAAUCUAAUAAAACUUUCAACAACGGAUCUCUUGGCUCUCGCAUCGAUGAAGAACGCAGCGAAAUGCGAUAAGUAAUGUGAAUUGCGGAAUUCAGUGAAUCAUCGAAUCUUUGAACGCACCUUGCGCUCUUUGGUAUUCCGAAGAGCAUGCCUGUUUGAGUGUCAUGAAAAUAUCAACCUUGACUUGGGUUUAGUGCUCUUGUCUUGGCUUGGAUUUGGCUGUUUGCCGCUCGAAAGAGUCGGCUCAGCUUAAAAGUAUUAGCUGGAUCUGUCUUUGAGACUUGGUUUGACUUGGCGUAAUAAGUUAUUUCGCUGAGGACAAUCUUCGGAUUGGCCGAGUUUCUGGGACGUUUGUCCGCUUUCUAAUACAAGUUCUAGCUUGCUAGACAUGACUUUUUUAUUAUCUGGCCUCAAAUCAGGUAGGACUACCCGCUGAACUUAA